rnacentral:tRNA from 1 species
GCGGAUGUAGCUCAAUGGUAGAGUCUCAGUCUUCCAAACUGAUGACGCGGGUUCAAUUCCCGUCAUCCGCUCCA